UUUGCUUCUCUGCCUUUUGGCUAAGAUCAAGUGUAGUAUCUGUUUUUAAUAUCUGAUACAUCUUCUAUAUGAGGAGUCUAUUUUAGGACGACUCUGGGUUGUUGAUCGGAGGAGCCCUAGUACUGUCAAGCUGCCACCAUUGGGCCCUUGAGCAAUGCCCUCACCCCCUGGCUGACUCUGCGCUCU